rnacentral:rRNA from 1 species
AUUGAACGCUGGCGGCACGCCUUACACAUGCAAGUCGAGCGCGAAAAGGGCAACCUGAGUAGAGCGGCGCACGGGUGCGUAACACGUGGGUAAUCUGCCUCAAAGUUUGGGAUAACCUUCCGAAAGGUUGGCUAAUACCGGAUAAGCUCACGAGGUCUUCGGACUUUGUGGGAAAAGGUGGCCUCUAUUUAUAAGCCAUCACUUU